CCUACGGGCGGCAGCAGGGAGGAAUAUUGGUCAAUGGGCGCGAGCCUGAACCAGCCAAGUAGCGUGAAGGAUGACAGCCCGACGGGGUGUAAACUUCAGGUAUAAAGGAAUAAAGUGAGGCACGUGGGCCUUUUUGUAUGUACGGUAUGAAGAAGGAGAGGCUAACUCCGUGCCAGCAGCCGCGGUAAUACGGAGGAUCCGAGCGUUAUCCGGAUUUAUUGGGUUUAAAGGGAGCGUAGAUGGGUUGUUAAGUCAGUUGUGAAAGUUUGCGGCUCAACCGGAAAAUUGCAAUUGAUACUGGCAGCCUUCAGUCCAGUUGUGCUAUGCGUCUUUCGUUGUGUAGCGGUGCACUGC
rnacentral:rRNA from 1 species